rnacentral:rRNA from 1 species
UACGUAGGGUCCGAGCGUUGUCCGGAAUUACUGGGCGUAAAGAGCUCGUAGGUGGUUUGUCGCGUUGUUCGUGAAAACUCACAGCUCAACUGUGGGCGUGCGGGCGAUACGGGCAGACUUGAGUACUGCAGGGGAGACUGGAAUUCCUGGUGUAGCGGUGGAAUGCGCAGAUAGUCAGGAGGAACACCGGUGGCGAAGGC